GACGAACGCUGGCGGCGUGCUUAACACAUGCAAGUCGAACGGAAAGGCUCCAGCUUGCUGGAGUGCUCGAGUGGCGAACGGGUGAGUAACACGUGGGCAAUCUGCCCUGCACUCUGGGAUAAGCCUGGGAAACUGGGUCUAAUACCGGAUAGGACCUUUCUCCUCAUGGGGUUUGGUGGAAAGUUUUUCGGUGCAGGAUGAGCCCGCGGCCUAUCAGCUUGUUGGUGGGGUAAUGGCCUACCAAGGCGACGACGGGUAGCCGGCCUGAGAGGGUGAUCGGCCACAUUGGGACUGAGAUACGGCCCAGACUCCUACGGGAGGCAGAAGUGGGGAAUAUUGCACAAUGGGCGAAAGCCUGAUGCAGCGACGCCGCGUGAGGGAUGACGGCCUUCGGGUUGUAAACCUCUUUCAGUAGGGACGAAGCGCAAGUGACGGUACCUGCAGAAGAAGCACCGGCUAACUACGUG
rnacentral:rRNA from 1 species